CUCCUGAGAAACACCUUCCCCAAUCCCACCCUCUAUUUCUACCCUGCUCCCAUCCCUCAUUAAAACCCUAUCCCCUUCCCACCCCUCCCUACCCCACCCGCCCCUCCCUCCACUCCACCCCCCAUCUCCACCUCCUCCCCGUCACCCCAGCGCCCCUUGAAAGGACCAAGACAUGAAGGUGCAGAGGCUGUUGUUCUGGCUGCUCUUGCUCUGGUGUCCCAGUUCCCCAAACCCAAAUGAAGCUGGAAAAUACACACUGUGAACUGAAGGCACAGAAGAGUCAACUGGCAGCUGCUGAGGAAAAUUUGAAACUGGUUACCGAAGAGAUAGACAAGUAUAAACAAGAAAUUGGAGAAAUGCAAGAUCAGCUACAGAAGGCAGAGCUCAACUUCAAACUCAAGGUUAAGGCUCGGUUUUGGGAGAGGAAGAUAGUGCAGCAGAGCAGGGAGAACACCUACAUGAAACACAGACUGCACAUGAUGAGGAGAGACACGCCUCCUGAGGGAUCCAUGAGGCAGGAACCGAUGCCGGGAAGAUCCGAGAUAUGGAACCGUGUGCAGAGAGAAUCUAGACCGGUUCCCAGGAUGAACAGCAGCACCAGCCCGAAAAAGGACCCGGAGAUGGCUACGGACAGGAAAUUUGAAAUUUGAAGACCUCCCUGAGCAAUUACAACCAGGCGGUGUGUGUAUAUAUUUAGAAAAUUGUCAGAUCAGCCUAAUGUCCUGAAUGCUGUCCCUGCCCAUCCUGUCCCCUGUGCUCUGUCUCUCCUGGUAUCCCCCAAAUAAACCUUUCACAGUUCUGUCUCUGUGUCAGCGUCUGCCUUCAGGAGGCCCUACAGUCACUCGCCUUCGAGUGCACAGUGUGAAUCCCGUACACAGAACAA
rnacentral:lncRNA from 1 species